rnacentral:lncRNA from 1 species
AAACCACAAGAAAAUUUUCGUUUGUUUUGCUGGUGUCAUCAUUAUCCAAAGUGAGGAUUUGAUUGGUUAUCGCGUUAUCGGUGUUCGACUCAUUUGUUGCUCCGACUUUCAGGCAGUCCUAGGCUCAUUUUUGGCAGACGUACCGCCUCAAUCGUUGUGUUAUCUUCCACCCCAUUACUUGUUUACCAUUGAUGGACCUUAGGUACACCUGGAGCUUGCACGGGAGGCGUGGUCGUUGUGGACAUGGAUCGUGGAUGUCAUGCUAAAACAUUUAAACAUUUGAACUUAUUUCUUACAUUGGGUUUACAUUUAUGCUUCCGCUAGAUACUUAAAAUGCUUUGUUUUGAACACCUUUCAUAUUGUUUGGUUGAAUUACACUUACGUUUAUUAUUACUUAUUAUGUUCGAUAUGAUUGGUGGCUU